UUAUUUGUCAGCUUGGAUCACGUGAUCCAUCCAGCUGCCGCGUGCGGCAAACAGCCCAAAUAGCGCUAACUCUGGCCUGCGAGCGUUUGCUGCGACUAGCGCGCUAGCGCUCGUGACAUACACAAACGCGCUAGCCAGAAUGCUUUGACUUUGAUGGCUUUCAGCUUCUAUUUUUUGAAAAGUAGCGCGCUCAGACCAGCUCGCUCACUCUUUUCCUCUUCCAUUUUUUAGGGCAAUUGUUUUGUUUGAUAGACGAAGCUUAGGGUCUCUUUGGGUUUGCAACCCUUACCCUCCUGGAAAAAAUCAUAGUUGCUAGACUGCGACACUUCAGACCAGGUACUAUUAGAGCCGCUAAUGGACGACGAGCUAUUUUCCGCUAUCCGGAGCUCAAGCAUUUGAGCCGCUAAAUGGACGAGACUCCUGCGGCAAAGGAUGCAGAGAAUGAGGAGAAAACACUCGUAUGGAGCAGGGAGUAGGUAUUGUACUACUUCCUGGUAUGGAGCACUGAGAAGCGCAUUAGGCGAUUUGAUCGCAGGACAAGAGAGGAGCUGAUGGACGAUCUCUCCAGUGUCCCUCUUGGUUCGGAGCAGCGCCGAGUGCUGACGUUGGGACUUGGAGUUCUAGCAUCCGUAGCUGCCUCAGGGGGUGCCACUUCUCCCAUCAGCGUCGACUAGUCCGCCGGUACGUGGUGCUAUAUUACGUUUAGUUGUCUGUUCCAUCCUGUACGGGCUGUGUCCUGCUGACCACACAGUCUGGGUCUCCAUACUUUGCAUGUUCUCAUCGUGUGUAGUGUUCACACGUACAUAUAUGGACUGUCACACCCAUAUGUUGUACAUGUGGCUGCACGUGUUGUCUCUUUGUCGUACCUGCUGCUGUAUUUGUGUCUCUGUGCUGCUGACCCGUACAUGCUGCUGCGCUGCUUUGUUGUAUUGCUGCCACGUGCACCUUUUUGUGCUGAUAUGAUAUCGAGUACGCCACUUUUUGUGCUGAUGAGGGCACCACUUUCCGAUAUCAUGUUUCCUUUCGCCAUGUCAGUUGUCAGUUCUCCCGUCGUCUCCUGAAGUGUAGUAAUGAAUAGCUCUCUCUCUAGCUCUAGAGAAAAACCACUUGACUAGUCCGUUUGAUGUGUGGCGUGGCGAGGGUAUAGUAGAGGCAGCUCGUUCUCCAACCGAGACGACAUUUGGCGCCCAACGUGGGGCUCAAACCCACGACCCUGAGAUUAAGAGUCUCAUGCUCUACCGACACAUAUAUGCACGCGGCACCGUUUGUGCUCCUAUCCAUUUACAUAUGCUGCUUUCCACACCUGUGCUGACAGUCGGUACGCACCGACUCUGUACGCAUGCACGCACACCAUUACAUUCUGUUGGCAUCAUAUUAGUGAGGUUUUGCAUUCCGAAAUUCGGCAAAAGAUUCGGCACGCGGGAGCGAGGUCGAAAAUGCACACGAAGAUGCGGCAUGUUUGUUCGGAAAAAGCUCACUUUGCCGAACAUAUUUUUCGGAUGAAUUUUCUUGUGGAAGAGCGCUAGCGCGUGAUUUAUUCAAAGAGGUUUCUUAUCUUGGCAUGGCUUCGCAGGCGUCUUUGACGACAUCAGCAUCGUCAGCUACCUCUGAU